CGCUCACUUUUGUAGUAGAACAUGCUUUCUAAAGUAGAAGAAACAAAUCUGUAUUUGUUGCUGUAUACCCAAAUACGAAUAUAUGACCGCCAUGUACACUAGUUCAUUUUCUAUUUGAAAUAUAGCUCAAGAAGCUUCUUCAAAGUUUCAAACACACUAGUGAAGGGGUCAAGUUCAGUAGGUGCCUUUAGUUCUAGGUCAGGGAAUUGAUUUGUUAACGCCUGUUGCAUCCCAGGCAUAGACAUCAUUGCAGCUAACUGGCUGUUAGACAUAACUUCACAAUCUUGUGGGGUGUCCUUGAUUUUGCUCGGAUCAUAUCCGAAGUUUGCCAAGUAAGAUUUGUAUUUCUCUAUGAAUUCAGGUCCAGGAUCAGGUUUCCUUGAAUAUAUCUGAAACAUUUAUGCCAAAACAUAUUAGAUUCUAGUUAUGGCUGCCGCAUCCCUGAGAUAUAAUGAUAUUUGCGAACGGCAAAGAGCAUUUUCUCAUAGUUCCUAAACUUCAGUAUGUCGAUCACUAAGACAAAUUAUUGUUUACCAAUGGCAAGACUUAGAUAUGACCAAUGGGGAUGCCAUGGUUAUGGCAACGGCAAUACAUAAAAUGGUUGCAUCUAUAAUCAGAGCCACUUGCUCCUAAAUCUUCAGCUUCAGCUUAGUAGUUGAAGUGGACAAGGUAAUCUCCUGCUACUAACAUCAAUGACAAUAAGUGACCUCUUGAUGCAAUUUUUGUUUUUAGCUGAAUAUUAUUGUACUUCAUGAACCACGUAAACUCAGAAUCUAUAAUAUCCCAGAACCCAGAUAUUAUAUAGUUGAUCUUCUUCAAAUCUGUCAUUACCUGAACAAAACUUUUGUCCUUUGCUCCAGAGACGAGAGAAAAGUUAUCAUAAUCAGUAGCAAUCACAUCAUAAGGCUCCUUUGGGAUGAAUGGCAAUGUUGGAAAGCGAAGGUAACACUUCUCUUUAAUCAUCUCUUGCUUUUCUAGCUGAGUCUCAUUCUUCUCCAAAUCUUCCUCUGCCAAGCAUUGAACCUUUCCCCUUAUGCCAGUAAUAUAUCCAUUAGGGCCUCCAUGAACACAAAAAGUGUCUACUUGAAUAGCUAAUGCCUGCAUAUCAAAUGUAUACACGCCCUGCUAGUUAUAAAUUAACUAGUCAGACGUCACCUAUUUGAAGGCAUAAAGUUGUGAGAGAGAAUCUAGAUUAAAUAAAUAUGAGGAACAGCCGAGAUAUGUUUUAGACUGGGACAGUAUUAUAGUUUUCCACAUUCUCCCCAGGAGACCAAUCAAUGAACUGCAACUACUUUCGACAGCCUAAUGUAUAUAAAACAUAUACAAAGCAUCGUCUGACAUUGCCUAUCACACAGCUUUAAAACUUUAAUGCAAGGUAUACAAUGUUAAUGAAAGUUGAGAAAUUUUGUUUCCAUUCAGCAAGUGAAGCAGUUCAAAAGGAUGAAUAUAUUCAUUAAAACUAUAUACCACACAUAUCCCUAGCAUUUACCAGGGUACAAUGGCAGUCUUCUUGACCUUGUCCAGCAAAUCCACGUUUGAGAGAAGCUACUUCAAACCACCUUCCAGAAUAUCUGACUGGAUCAAAAUCUUUAGCUGUCAUACCUCUCAUCAUCAUUAGCUUGCCACUUCUCUCAUCAGAGCUCUCAUCAAGUGGAAGGGUUACUUUAUUGUCUGCAGCACUUGCAAGCUGAUUUGUUUGGGAGAGAAAAAUUAAAGAGGAAGCAAGCCCGGAUAGCACACGUCUAACCACAACCUUACUUGAGAUAGGAUUCUCAGGUAAGCAUUUUGAGAACAUUUUUCCAGGCUCUCUCCUGUAACUGAGCAUCUUAGGAGGAAAGGAGGAGCACCAUUGAAGCAGAGGUGGCGAAGUUUGAUGAUAGAUAAAAUUGAUAGCAUUCACCAUUGCUUCCUUCUCAACACUGCCCUGGCUCUCUCUGCUCUAUCUCCUUUUCUGGGUUAGGGGACACUGAGUGAUCACUCGCUAGUCAAUUGAUUCGUACCCACUGUCGCAGGGCACUACAAAUAUCCUUUCAACGUCACCGUUGAACUUAUCCA
rnacentral:misc_RNA from 1 species